rnacentral:rRNA from 1 species
GUGCCAGCAGCCGCGGUAAUACGGAGGAUCCAAGCGUUAUCCGGAAUCAUUGGGUUUAAAGGGUCCGUAGGUUGAUAAUUAAGUCAGAGGUGAAAUCUUGCAGCUCAACUGUAAAAUUGCCUUUGAUACUGAUUAUCUUGAGUUAUUAUGAAGUAGUUAGAAUAUGUAGUGUAGCGGUGAAAUGCAUAGAUAUUACAUAGAAUACCAAUUGCGAAGGCAGAUUACUAAUAAUCAACUGACACUGAUGGACGAAAGCGUGGGUAGCGAACAGGAUUAGAUACCCUGGUAGUCCACGCCGUAAACGAUGGUUACUAGCUGUGUGGAUUUCGGUCUGCGUGGCUAAGCGAAAGUGAUAAGUAACCCACCUGGGGAGUACGUUCGCAAGAAUGAAACUCAAAGGAAUUGACGGGGGCCCGCACAAGCGGUGGAGCAUGUGGUUUAAUUCGAUGAUACGCGAGGAACCUUACCAGGGCUUAAAUGUAAGUUGCAUUAGAUAGAGAUAUCUAUUUCUUCGGACCACUUACAAGGUGCUGCAUGGUUGUCGUCAGCUCGUGCCGUGAGGUGUCAGGUUAAGUCCUAUAACGAGCGCAACCCCUGUUGUUAGUUGCCAGCGAUUCAAGUCGGGAACUCUAACAAGACUGCCGGUGCAAACCGUGAGGAAGGUGGGGAUGACGUCAAAUCAUCACGGCCCUUACGUCCUGGGCUACACACGUGCUACAAUGGUAGGGAC